rnacentral:rRNA from 1 species
CGCUGGCGGCGUGCUUAACACAUGCAAGUCGAACGGGAUCAUCAAGUUUGUGGUGAGAGUGGCGAACGGGUGAGUAAUGCGUGACCGACCUGCCCCAUGCUCCGGAAUACUCCUGGAAACGGGUGGUAAUGCCGGAUGUUCCACAUGAUCGCAUGUGAUUGUGGGAAAGAUUCUAUCGGCGUGGGAUGGGGUCGCGUCCUAUCAGCUUGUUGGUGAGGUAACGGCUCACCAAGGCUUAGACGGGUAGCCGGCACUGAGAGGGCGACCGGCCACAUUGGGAUCUGAGAUACGGCCCAGACUCCUACGGGAGGCAGCAGUGGGAAUAUUGCACAAUGGGCGCAAGCCUGAUGCAGAGACCCCGCGUGAGGGAUGGAGGCCUU